rnacentral:rRNA from 1 species
ACGGCGAGUGAAGCGGCAAAAGCUCAAAUUUGAAAUCUGGUACCUUCGGUGCCCGAGUUGUAAUUUGGAGAGGGCAACUUUGGGGCCGUUCCUUGUCUAUGUUCCUUGGAACAGGACGUCAUAGAGGGUGAGAAUCCCGUGUGGCGAGGAGUGCGGUUCUUUGUAAAGUGCCUUCGAAGAGUCGAGUUGUUUGGGAAUGCAGCUCUAAGUGGGUGGUAAAUUCCAUCUAAAGCUAAAUAUUGGCGAGAGACCGAUAGCGAACAAGUACAGUGAUGGAAAGAUGAAAAGAACUUUGAAAAGAGAGUGAAAAAGUACGUGAAAUUGUUGAAAGGGAAGGGCAUUUGAUCAGACAUGGUGUUUUGUGCCCUCUGCUCCUUGUGGGUAGGGGAAUCUCGCAUUUCACUGGGCCAGCAUCAGUUUUGGUGGCAGGAUAAAUCCAUAGGAAUGUAGCUUGCCUCGGUAAGUAUUAUAGCCUGUGGGAAUACUGCCAGCUGGGACUGAGGACUGCGACGUAAGUCAAGGAUGCUGGCAUAAUGGUUAUAUGCCGCCCGUCUUGAAACGG